AUGACUGAUGAGCGCUCUUCGUGCGCGACCGCGGCGCCUGAUAGCGACUGAGAAUUCGAUCACCGAUUCGCGCGUCGUAUAUCGACGACGAGCAGCGCCGCGGGGCGAGUUUAGCGCGCGAGCGCUGUGCGCGGGUCUGCAGCGCGCGCGCCAUUUUGUCCAGGGUCCGCGGCGGCGCGCGCGCGGGGUGAGUGAGUGACGGACGCGGGACUGCUGCGCUGCGGAGCGCCGACGCUCACCGAGAGGCGCUGUUCUGUUCUCCACGAAGCUGUGCGUCCGACAUACUUUGGACAGCAUUCCCGAGGAAGGCGGUUGGGAAUUAUUGCGGAUUCUCCCGAGGAGCUGCAGUCCUCUCGUCAGAAAGAGGCUCGCGGCACGAUCUUCACCAAUGGUUGUGCUAGUUAAAGAUCAACUCAACCAUCUCAGAAAACGGCAAGACCCUGCUGAGACUCCAGGGCUGUUCUCACCUGAAAACCACUCGCGAGUCGCUACAGUGGGCUGUGGUUUGCAGAUGGACUCCCCUGUCACAAUGAUAUGAGAUUUGUCAGAAGACGAUGCAUACAGGAGGAGAGACCUCAGCAUGCAAACCCUCCUCUGUUCGGCUGGCCCCCUCGUUUUCUUUCCAUUCGGCUGGUGUGCAGAUGGAUGCGCAGACGCC